CCUACGGGAGGCAGCAGCUAAGAAUAUUCCGCAAUGGACGAAAGUCUGACGGAGCGACGCCGCGUGGAUGAAGAAGGCCGAAAGGUUGUAAAAUCCUUUUGAAUUGGACGAAUAAGCUAUGUAGGGAAUGAUAUAGUGGUGACGGUACAAUUUGAAUAAGCAACAGCUAAUUACGUGCCAGCAGCCGCGGUAAUA
rnacentral:rRNA from 1 species